rnacentral:lncRNA from 1 species
UUUUUUUUUUUUUUUUUUUUUUUUUUGCUUUUUAGGGCCACACUAGUGGCAUAUAGAAGUUCCCAGAAACAUGUUUUAAUUAUGAUCUAUGUGUUUUCUCACUGGACUGAAGCUUUCUCUUGUACCUAGGCCACUGCUUCUUCUGUGGCUAAUAUCUUGUUACAACAAUUAUCCCUACCUGGGAACCCCUCUCAAACUUUUUAGUGAUGGAGGAACCCAUUUAGUGGUCAGGUACUUCCCCAAGUCUGACUGGCUGGUUUUACCCUUGCACUGUGCCUACCAUCCUCAAUCCAUGGGUUAGUCGAAUAGUAGUAGCACUAUUAAGACCCAAUAAGCAAAAUUCAUAGAGACCAAAAGCACUGCCAUUUGUUCUUCUAAUCCACCCCUUUCAGACCUCAUAAAUUCUCAGGCUUUGAGAUAGUCACAGGAUGCCCAAUGCACCCAUCCCUGCUUCUUUUGAUCCACAGCUGAUAAAAAGAGAUACUUCAAUAAUUAUAAACACCUAAUUGCUUUAAUUAAAAAUAACUAUGCCCUGAGGUUCCCUUGUGGUGCAGCAGGUUAAGGAGCUAGGGUUGUCACUACAGCGGCUCAGGUCGCUGCUGUGGCUCAGGUUUGAUCCCUGGACUGGGAAAUUCUACAUGCCAUAGGCAAGACCAAAAAAAUAAAAGGUAGAAAAUAACCAUGCCCUGGUAAAGCAAUCCUUUCAUAGUCAGCUCUCAGGAUAUGAAAACUUAAACAUCACACCUUUCAACCUGGAAAUGUUCUCUACUGGAAAAGACAUCUCCAAAAGACUCUUUUGAACUUUGCUGGAAGGGCCCCUACCAGGUACUGGUAACCAACCCUUGGGCUGCCAAACUCCAGGGAACAGACUCCUGAAUUUACACGACACAUCUAAAGAAAGUACCAAAUCCUCACUGGACCUGCACACCAUCUGUUUAUCUGAAGGUAAAGAUUUCCCAGAAUUGAAGCAGAUGACAUCCAAUGAGAUAGCUUUCCAAAGACAUCCUGACCAGACCUGUUAGAAGGCUUAGAAUUUAUAAAUAUCUUUCAUCUAGAUCAUAAAAUUACUCUGGAUUAUCUAAAUUCAAAGUUUCUGUAUUUGCAACCUAUAGGCUGUAUUAUUGCUAAAACAUUUGGUUCAUGGAGUUUCUUUUGAAAUAACAAUACUGUUUAAUUCUUCAUGUUUAUUGCUGCACCAUGUCUUCAUAAAGCACUCAGUUCCUUCAGUUUUGAGUGUGUAUUUGCUGUAUUCAUGAUUCAAAAAUACAAGCUUUAGAUGGGAUUUGCCUAAGAGAUCUCCCUCCUACCCUUCCUUGUUAUUCAAACAUGACCACAAUAGUUUUCCAACCUGUAUAGUUUCCCUCCAACAUGAAGCACAACACCCAGAAAAGGUCGUUCCUAGCAUCAACCAACAAAGGGCCACUGACUGCUAGUUUAAAAACAUCAAGGGAGUUCACUGGUAGCACAGCAGGUUAAGGAUCCAGCAUUGUCACAGCUGUGGUGCAGUUUCAAUCCC